rnacentral:rRNA from 1 species
CGGGGCCCGCACGAGCGGUGGAGUAUGUGGUUUAAUUCGAUGCAACGCGAAGAACCUUACCUGGUCUUGACAUCCCGGAGACCCUUAGGAAACUAGGGGGUGCUUCCAUCUGGAAGAAUCUGGAGACAGGUGCUGCAUGGCUGUCGUCAGCUCGUGUCGUGAGAUGUUGGGUUAAGUCCCGCAACGAGCGCAACCCUUGCCUUUAGUUGCCAGCAGUUCGGCUGGGCACUCUAAAGGGACUGCCGGUGUUAAACCGGAGGAAGGUGGGGAUGACGUCAAGUCCUCAUGGCCUUUAUGACCAGGGCUACACACGUACUACAAUGGCCGAUACAAAGGGCAGCGACACUGCGAGGUGAAGCCAAUCCCGUAAAAUCGGUCUCAGUCCGGAUUGGAGUCUGCAACUCGACUCCAUGAAGUUGGAAUCGCUAGUAAUCGUGGAUCAGCAUGCCACGGUGAAUACGUUCCCGGGCCUU